rnacentral:rRNA from 1 species
UACAGAGGUCUCAAGCGUUGUUCGGAUUCAUUGGGCGUAAAGGGUGCGUAGGCGGCGCGGUAAGUCGGAUGUGAAAUCUUGGAGCUUAACUCCGAAACUGCAUUCGAUACUGCCGUGCUUGAGGACUGGAGAGGAGACUGGAAUUUACGGUGUAGCGGUGAAAUGCGUAGAUAUCGUAAGGAAGACCAGUGGCGAAGGCGGGUCUCUGGACAGUUCCUGACGCUGAAGCACGAAGGCCAGGGGAGAAAACGGG